GGGCAAUGAAAACAUAGGAUUGGCAACCCAAUGUAUUUGAAAACUUUGUAUUAAGCUAAAAGAUUUCCUAUUCCUGUAUAAGUAUACUACUGAUUUACUCCUCAGGCAAAACACAUGCGAGGGAUACUUUUUAGAUAUCAUACUUGCGGAUGUAAUUUCUAUAACCAUACACUAAUCUCGGAUAAAUUUUUUUUUCCAAAAUAUACUUUAUGUACUAAAAAGUAAUGCCUCAAGAUCGAAUAGAGACCGUCCAAUUUUUAAAUUACUAGAUAUGAGCCUCACAAAACUGAAAAUUAGAAUUUGUUUCUUUUGAAAAUAAUCUUGUAAUUUUCAUGUGAUUACCAAAAUUCUAGACUAUUUAAUAGGUGUUUUGGGUGUAGGAGUAAAUACACAAUAUACUCCGACAUGAGCAUAAUAUACAGGCCCUUGUAUUAAUAUGCAAAGGACAAAAACUACAAUACAUAGCAGGAAAAAUUUAUGCAAUUGCUUUUGUUUCCAUGUGUACAAGGUUGUCUUCGGCACGAGCAUUUGGAAUACAAUAAUGGAAAAUGUUUUGAUAGAGCUGCAGCGCUAUCAAAAUAAGUUGGACUGCAGUCCUCCUUUUUGGAUGGUUAGGAUUUUAUUUGAUAAAGACAACUCAAAAUCGCUGCACCAAAACGAAGUAAACCCGGCCUUUUUCUUAAGUCCGGUUUUCCCUCUCUCUGCCUUAUCUCAAUACUCUCUCCCUCAUCUCAAUACUUUCUUUGCAGGAGAGUCUCACAUCUAAGAAAGAAGCCCAUCCCCUUGAUCAAUUCUCUCUAUAAAUCCCGCCACAUACUUUCUCUCACUACCAAAAUUUAGUAGAAAUGAGAAAGAUUCCAAUUUCAGGCCAAGAAGCAAGGUACUUAAAAUCUGAAAAAUACCAAGUAGUAUUCAUAUAUAGAAAUCUACAGUUUUAUUUAACUAACAUAAGGAAAAAAAGCAAAUAUCCUUACUCCAUGGAUCUACAGUUUCUAAGCUCUUUACCAAAGCAAAUAUCCUUACUCCCUGAAUCUGCAGUUUCUAAGCUCUUUACCUUCAUAUCUCUCUUGUCAUCCCAAGCCUUAUGUCCAUAAUAGAGACCGCAAAACAAAAACUCUAAGUCCUUGAAUCUCAACGACUUUUGAAUGC
rnacentral:lncRNA from 1 species